AAUGACAAGCUUCCAGCCUUUGGACUUGGAAAGGAAGGGAAGUUACUUAAAUCUAGUAUCUUCCACAUGCCUGGGGCUAUUUCAAGAACAACAAAUCUCUGAGUGUUUAAAAACAGUGCUGGGGAAAUUAGAGCUACAGCAUUUUGUUCUGAAAAUAACUGGGACAGGAGAGGUGAACCAGUAGUGGUACAUGCGCGGGCAAAGCUCUCUGACUUCACUGCACAAUCGUCUCUUCCUCUUAAACAACCAGCUCCCAGUUACCACAAUGCCCCUGUGUACAGAGGAAAGCCAAAAUUAAAAGGUCUCUUUAAUACUCAAGUGGCAAAUUUGGACACUUCACCAAAGAAAAGAGAUGGGUAGCAACGAAGCACAUGAAAAGAUGCUCGACAUCGUUAAUCAUUAAGGAAAUGCAGGUUAAAACCAGAAUGGCUCCAGUGAACAAACCUGACAUUACCAAGUGCUGAGGAGGAUGAGGAGCCCUGGGAAUUCAUACCCUGCUGGUGGGAAUGCAAAAUGGUAUGGCCACUUUGGAAAGCAGAGUAUGUUUCUUGUAACAUGGAACAUGCAUUUACCAUAUACUGCCCAGAAAUCCCACUCCUAUGUAUUUAACCAAGAGAAAUGGCUACAUUAAGUCUCUCCAUCCAAAAAAUCCAACAAACCAGAGCAUAAAUGUUUAUUGUGGCUUUCAUUGUAGUCAUCCAAACCUGGCAACAACUCAAAUGUCUACCAACAGAUGAUGGCUAACGAGUCAUAAUUGCUGGAAUACCAGUUAGCAAUAAAAAGGAAAGACCUGACACAUGCCGCUAAUGAAUGAAUUUCAGAUGCUUUCUGCUAAGUGAAAGAAA